rnacentral:rRNA from 1 species
GACGAACGCUGGCGGCGUGCUUAACACAUGCAAGUCGAGCGGCGCGGCGAACGGGUGAGUAACAUGUGAGUAACUGCCCCCCUCUCUGGGAUAACAGUUGGAAACGGCUGCUAAUACCGGAUAGUGGGGGAUGGCUCGCGUCCUAUCAGCUUGUGGGCGGGGUAGUGGCCUACCAAGGCGACGACGGGUAGCCGGCCUGGGAGGGGGACCGGCCCCAGAGGGCUGGGGUAGGGGCCGAAGUCCUACGUGGGGCAGGGGGGGGGACCAGUGCAAGAUGGGGGAAGUGCGGGUGCAGGAACGCCGCGUGGGGGAGGACGGCCGUCGGGUUGGAAACCGCGUUCAGUAAUGACGCGGUCGUGGCAGAAGAAGCACGGGCUACCUCCGUGCCAGCGGCGGGGGUAAUA